rnacentral:lncRNA from 1 species
AUGGUUGAUCUGAAGAGUCCCACUGGAUAGGGACUCUGGUGAAGAGUGCCACUGGACGGGGUUGGGACUCUAUCAUAAUAGAGGAUUAGUUAGUGAUUAGAUCACUAAUUAACUCAAUUUGAUUGAGUAUUAAAGUUUGGAUCAAAUCUGAUUGAACUGAAUUCAAUCAGGUCAGGUCCGAUUAGAUUAUGAGAUGACCUAAUCGGUAAGAGAGAAUUGAUCUUGAUUUGAUCAGGUCUAUAGCUCAAUUAAUUCAUUGAUUUGAUCAGAUUUAAUUAAAAUUAUGAGAGCCUAAUUAGAUUAGACUCAUCAUAUUUUAUAGAUCUAAUUGGAUUGGGUUUGAAAGAAAUCUAAUUGACUAAACCCUAGAGUCCCAAAUGAAUGAAACUCUCUCUCCCUUUGCGCCUCCCAUUCUCUCCAUGCCUUCUUUCAUCACAUAAAUUAUUUUGUAUGUUGAAUAAUCCAUGCCAAAGCUUCCUAUUGUUGCCCAUUAGUGAUAGGAUUAGGUUGGAUUGAUUUUGAAUUCAAAGUAGUUUGAAUUUCAAAACCUAUGUUGAUCUAUAUCCUCCCACACACUGGCCCCUUGUGAAGGGCGCCCAAUAUGUGCAACAAAAGGAAAUAAAUGUUGAUUUUUUCCACACCAAAAAGCCUUGGUCAGCCUCC